rnacentral:rRNA from 1 species
AACGAACGCUGGCGGCAGGCUUAACACAUGCAAGUCGAGCGCCCCGCAAGGGGAGCGGCAGACGGGUGAGUAACGCGUGGGAAUGUACCCUUUGCUACGGAAUAGCUCCGGGAAACUGGAAUUAAUACCGUAUGUGCCCUUCGGGGGAAAGAUUUAUCGGCAAAGGAUCAGCCCGCGUUGGAUUAGCUAGUUGGUGGGGUAAAGGCCUACCAAGGCGACGAUCCAUAGCUGGUCUGAGAGGAUGAUCAGCCACAUUGGGACUGAGACACGGCCCAAACUCCUACGGGAGGCAGCAGUGGGGAAUAUUGGAAAAUGGGCGCAAGCCUGAUCCAGCCAUGCCGCGUGAGUGAUGAAGGCCUUAGGGUUGUAAAGCUCUUUCACCGGUGAAGAUAAUGACGGUAACCGGAGAAGAAGCCCCGGCUAACUUCGUGCCAGCAGCCGCCGUAACAC